rnacentral:rRNA from 1 species
CCAACAGGGAUUGCCUUAGUAACGGCGAGUGAAGCGGCAACAGCUCAAAUUUGAAAGCUGGCUCCUUUGGAGUCCGCGUUGUAAUUUGUAGAGGAUGAUUCGGCAAGGGCUCCCGCCUAAGUCUCCUGGAACGGAGCGUCAUAGAGGGUGAGAAUCCCGUAUGCGGUGGGCUGCCUAAGCCAUGUGAAUCUCCUUCGACGAGUCGAGUUGUUUGGGAAUGCAGCUCUAAAUGGGAGGUAAAUUUCUUCUAAAGCUAAAUACCGGCCAGAGACCGAUAGCGCACAAGUAGAGUGAUCGAAAGAUGAAAAGCACUUUGGAAAGAGAGUUAAAAAGUACGUGAAAUUGUUGAAAGGGAAGCGCUUGCAGCCAGACUUGUCCGCAGUUGCUCAGCCGGUCUCCUGACCGGUGUACUCUUCUGCGGCCAGGCCAGCAUCAGUUCGGGCGGUCGGAUAAAGACCUCGGGAAUGUAGCUCCUCUCGGGGAGUGUUAUAGCCCGGGGUGGAAUGCGGCCAGCCUGGACUGAGGAUCUCGCUUCGGCUAGGAUGCUGGCGUAAUGGCUGUAAGCGGCCCGUCUUGNAACACGGACC